rnacentral:rRNA from 1 species
AGAGUUUGAUCCUGGCUCAGAAUCAACGCUGGCGGCGUGCCUAACACAUGCAAGUCGAGCGAGAAAAGGUAGCAAUACCCGAGUAAAGCGGCGCACGGGUGAGUAACACGUGGAUAACCUGCCUCGAAGUGGGGAAUAACCCCGGGAAACCGGAGCUAAUACCGCAUAUCCAGACGAGAUCUGUGGAUUUUGUCUGUAAAGGAGCAAUUCGCUUUGAGAGGGGUCCGCGGCUGAUUAGCUAGUUGGUGAGGUAAUGGCUCACCAAGGCCACGAUCAGUAGCCGGUCUGAGAGGACGGUCGGCCACACUGGAACUGAGACACGGUCCAGACUCCUACGGGAGGCAGCAGUGGGGAAUUUUUCGCAAUGGGGGCAACCCUGACGAAGCAACGCCGCGUGGGUGAUGAAGUAUUUCGGUACGUAAAACCCUUUCGACGGGGACGAAACCGCAAGGUUGACGGUACCCGUAGAAGAAGCCCCGGCUAACUCCGUGCCAGCAGCCGCGGUAAUACGGGGGGGGCAAGCGUUGUUCGGAAUUACUGGGCGUAAAGGGCGCGUAGGCGGUUCGCUAAGUUGGAUGUGAAAACUCUGGGCUUAACCCAGAGCCUGCAUCCAAAACUGGCAAACUUGAGUACUGGAGGGGAAAGCGGAAUUCCUGGUGUAGCGGUGAAAUGCGUAGAUAUCAGGAGGAACACCGGUGGCGAAGGCGGCUUUCUGGACAGUAACUGACGCUGAGGCGCGAAAGCUAGGGGAGCAAACAGGAUUAGAUACCCUAGUAGUCC